rnacentral:rRNA from 1 species
AAACUUUCAACAACGGAUCUCUUGGCUCUGGCAUCGAUGAAGAACGCGGCGAAAUGCGAUAAGUAAUGUGAAUUGCAGAAUUUAGUGAAUCAUCGAAUCUUUGAACGCACAUUGCGCCCCUUGGUAUUCCGAGGGGCAUGCCUGUUCGAGCGUC